AGCCUCCUUUCUUGGGGAUUCAUCUGGAAAGAGUUGAAAGAGGAGAGAGACGCCUUUCCUUUGGGGAGUCACUUUUACCUCAGGAAAGGCUUUUCUUCCCGUCCAGAGGACCCUCUCUCUCCCACUCGAUUUUAGAAAUUUCUUUAUCGAACCUUUACCUCAGAAAAGCCUUGUGAAAUAGAAAGAAGAAAAUGCCAAUUUUAUUUAUUAAGAGAUUGUCACCUCAGACUUUACCUCAGAAAUGGCCAAGCCUUGUGAAACGGAAGGGAGAAACAAAGGCAAAACUUUUGAAAAUUAGCACAGCUUUUUCUGAAGGGACCAGAAAUUUCUUUAUCGAACCUUUACCUCAGAAAAGCCUUGUGAAAUAGAAAGAAGAAAAUGCCAAUUUUAUUUAUUAAGAGAUGGUCAUCUCAGACUUUACCUCAGAAAUGGCCAAGCCUUGUGAAACGGAAGGGAGAAACAAAGGCAAAACUUUUGAAAAUUAGCACAGCUUUUUCUGAAGGGACCAGCCUUAAGACCCAUAACAUGCUAUGCUGAAAAUUAUAUAUAUA